AGAGUUUGAUCCUGGCUCAGAUUGAACGCUGGCGGCACGCCUAACACAUGCAAGUCGAGCGGCAGCGGGAUAUGUAGCAAUACAUAUUGCCGGCGAGCGGCGGACGGGUGAGUAAUACGUAAGAAUCUGCCCUCAAGCGGGGGAUAACUAAUGGAAACGUUAGCUAAUACCGCAUAAUCUCGGAAGAGAAAAGGUGCCCGUAAGGGUGUCACUUGAGGAGGAGCUUGCGUCUGAUUAGCUAGUUGGUGGGGUAAGAGCCUACCAAGGCGAUGAUCAGUAACUGGUCUGAGAGGACGACCAGUCACACUGGGACUGAGACACGGCCCAGACUCCUACGGGAGGCAGCAGUGGGGAAUAUUGGACAAUGGGGGAAACCCUGAUCCAGCGAUGCCGCGUGAGUGAAGAAGGCCUUC
rnacentral:rRNA from 1 species